AUGGCGGCGCGGGCCGCGCUGCUGCUGCUUGUCAUGGCGGCGGCGGCGCCGGGCCCGGCCCGGGGCUCGCAGGGGGACCGGGAACCGCUGUACCGGGAGUGCCUGAGCCGCUGCGAGCGGCAGAACUGCUCGGGGGCGGCACUGCGGCACUUCCGGGCCCGGCAGCCGCUCUACAUGGGCCUGACAGGCUGGACGUGCCGGGAUGAGUGCAAGUACGAGUGCAUGUGGCUGACGGUGCGGCUGUACCAGCAGGGCGGCCACCGCGUGCCCCAGUUCCAUGGAAAGUGGCCCUUCUCCCGGUUCCUGUUUUUCCAGGAGCCGGCCUCUGCCUUCGCCUCCUUCCUCAACGGCCUGGCCAGCCUGGUCAUGCUGCUGCGCUACCGGGCGGCCGUGCCCCCCGCCGCCCCCACCUACCCCACCUGCGUCGCCUUCGCCUGGGUCUCCUUAAACGCCUGGUUCUGGUCCACCAUAUUCCACACGAGGGACACGGCGCUGACGGAGAAACUGGAUUAUUUCUGUGCUUCGGCCGUCGUCCUGCACUCCGUGUACCUGUGCUGUGUCAGGACGCUGGGGCUGCAGCGCCCGGCCUUAAUCAGCAUCUUCAGGGCCUUCCUCCUGCUCUUCCUCGCCGGCCACAUCUCCUACCUGAGCCUCGUGCGCUUCGACUACGGCUACAACCUGGUGGCCAACGCCGCUGCUGGAAUGCUGACGGUGGCGUGGUGGCUGCGGUGGUGCCUGCGGCAGGGCCGGCGCCUCCCGCACGUGUGGAAAUGCGCGGCCGCGGUGCUGCUGCUCCAGGCGCUGGCGCUGCUCGAGCUCCUCGACUUCCCUCCCCUGCUCUGGGUGCUGGACGCCCACGCGCUCUGGCACAUCGGGACCAUCCCCCUCAACGUGCUCUUCUACAGUUUCCUGAUGGACGACAGCCUCUACCUCCUGAAGGCCAACUCCGACCUCUUCAAAGUGGACUAGAGCUGCUGGGGGGGUGUGGAGGGCAAAACCCCUCGUGCCCCCCCAGGGCCGUGCCCUGCCCUGUGCCAAGCGACCUCCCGGCCCCCCCCGGCCACAGCCUCCUGCCCCCCCCGGUUGCCUUCUGAGGAUUCCAGCGGUUUCUGCGCGUGGGCGAAGAACACUCCAUCCACAUCGU